AGUCAAGUAAAUGGAGCUCAAACAAGCACUGCUCGUGGACUGAGGCAAAUCUGUUAGAUGAGUAGAAAAUUUGUUUGAGUUGCCCAAACUUGGUCCUUCAUGUUGUUGGGCCGUAGAAUUCAAACUUCAUUGUGCUAUUGCUAGGUGCCAAUGAAUUAUUUGCCUUUGGAAGGUGAGAAUUUCGUAAUUUUCACUGCAGCCAGCUAUACAUUGAUUCCCCGUUCAACGGUAUUAAUUAUCAGGCAACUAAGAUAGUUUGGUAAAACUUGUUCUAAAUAUGGAAUCCAAAGGUCACUGAUCCAUUUUAAAAAGUCAGUUAAGAGAAGUAGCACAAUCAUUUAUGGCUAGAUUGAUGACUCAUUUGAGUAUAUCAAACUUCAAAUAUGUGUGAUCGAUUGAGUCUUAAUCGGAUCGAAUUGCUCAUUUGAGUUUAAUGGAUUAUGAUAUUAUAUUAAAACUUGUGAUUUAUCUGAAAAGGUCAACUUAGUUAAAAGGAGUAACACAAGUCUUUAUAUUUUGAGUAAUAGUUUUGUAUGUAAAUUCAUCUCUUAGCACUUACUAUAAAAUUACAUAUCACAUGCUUAGUAAUUGAGUCAUGCAAUAUUGUCCAUAUCUCUACUGCUGCAUUUAUUCAAGCCUGAACCUUGCUUGAACACGAGAGAUAUAGCUUGUAGCCUUUGCAUCAACAGCCUCAUCUGCUGUUAUACCAUAGUCAUAGAAAUGAUCAAUCUUGGCAUUGGAAUCAUCUGGUACAACAAAAGUAACUUUUUGCUGUUGAGGAAAAACUUUGUGCUGCUUCGCUAUGAAAGCAGUAUGCUCCCCUCCAAUUCCAUUGGCAUUGAAAGAAUUAUAUGGAUCAGGGGUGGGCUUCACCUUGGUUGAGGAAGCAGCUAGCUUUGCUUUCUUUAACCCUCUGUGCUUGUGGUUGGACUCCAUUGUAUAUUUUCACCUUAAUAACUGCUACCAAAUUGUGUGUGACUGACUAGUUUUGUGCAGAGGGAGCUCUAUAUAUAACGCUGGAGAUUAAGAUGGUCACAUUCCAGAUGAUUUAAGUAUUUAAAAAAUUGUCGGUG
rnacentral:lncRNA from 1 species